UACGUAGGGUGCGAGCGUUGUCCGGAAUUACUGGGCGUAAAGAGCUCGUAGGUGGUUUGUCGCGUUGUUCGUGAAAACUCACAGCUUAACUGUGGGCGUGCGGGCGAUACGGGCAGCCUGGAGUACUGCAGGGGAGACUGGAAUUCCUGGUGUAGCGGUGGAAUGCGCAGAUAUCAGGAGGAACACCGGUGGCGAAGGCGGGUCUCUGGGCAGUAACUGACGCUGAGGAGCGAAAGCGUGGGGAGCAAACGGG
rnacentral:rRNA from 1 species